AAUAGAUACCCAGGUAGUCCACGCCGUAAACGAUGUCGACUUGGAGGUUGUUCCCUUGAGGAGUGGCUUCCGGAGCUAACGCGUUAAGUCGACCGCCUGGGGAGUACGGCCGCAAGGUUAAAACUCAAAUGAAUUGACGGGGGCCCGCACAAGCGGUGGAGCAUGUAGUUUAAUUCGAUGCAACGCGAAGAACCUUACCUACUCUUGACAUCCAGAGAACUUAGCAGAGAUGCUUUGGUGCCUUCGGGAACUCUGAGACAGGUGCUGCAUGGCUGUCGUCAGCUCGUGUUGUGAAAUGUUGGGUUAAGUCCCGCAACGAGCGCAACCCUUAUCCUUUGUUGCCAGCGGUUCGGCCGGGAACUCAAAGGAGACUGCCAGUGAUAAACUGGAGGAAGGUGGGGAUGACGUCAAGUCAUCAUGGCCCUUACGAGUAGGGCUACACACGUGCUACAAUGGCGUAUACAAAGAGAAGCGACCUCGCGAAAGCAAGCGGACCUCAUAAAGUACGUCGUAGUCCGGAUUGGAGUCUGC
rnacentral:rRNA from 1 species